rnacentral:rRNA from 1 species
UACGGAGGGUGCAAGCGUUAUCCGGAUUCACUGGGUUUAAAGGGUGCGUAGGCGGGUAUGUAAGUCAGUGGUGAAAUCUUGGAGCUUAACUCCGAAACUGCCAUUGAUACUAUAUAUCUUGAAUAUCGUUGAGGUUUGCGGAAUAUGUCAUGUAGCGGUGAAAUGCUUAGAUAUGACAUAGAACACCAAUUGCGAAGGCAGCAGGCUAAACGAACAUUGACGCUGAGGCACGAAAGCGUGGGGAGCAAACAGG